UCGGGAAUUUUGGGCAAUGGGCGAAAGCCUGACCCAGCAACGCCGCGUGAAGGAUGAAGUAUUUCGGUAUGUAAACUUCGAAAGAAUAGGAAGAAUAAAUGACGGUACUAUUUAUAAGGUCCGGCUAACUACGUGCCAGCAGCCGCGGUAAUACGUAGGGGCCAAGCGUUGUUCGGAUUUACUGGGCGUAAAGGGCGCGUAGGCGGCAAUUCAAGUCAUCUGUGAAAUCUCCGGGCUUAACUCGGAACGGUCAGAUGAUACUGCUUUGCUAGAGUGCAGAAGGGGCAAUCGGAAUUCUUGGUGUAGCGGUGAAAUGCGUAGAUAUCAAGAGGAACACCUGAGGUGAAGACGGGUUGCUGGGCUGACACUGACGCUGAGGCGCGAAAGCCAGGGGAGCAAACGGGAUUAGAUACCCCCGUAGUCCCUGAGCGGGCUGGCAAGGCGCAU
rnacentral:rRNA from 1 species